rnacentral:lncRNA from 1 species
AAGUAGGACUCGAAGAACAUCCAGUCUGUCGUUCCACGGCAAUAUGCAAAGCAUUACGAUUCUCAAUUGUAACGUCUCGAAUCGAUUGAGGACAAAUCUCUAGAAAUCUCUCCAACAGACCAUUAUGGUUCCCAACUUCAGUUAUGAUGUGCAAAGGUGUCUUACCAUUCUUUCCUUUGACACGAACUAGAUCUUUAUCAAUUUCCAAGAAACGUAGAACCAUACUUGUAUGCCCUUUUGUAACUGCAAGGUGAAGUGGGGUUAAGCCUUGUUGGUUUAGCUUCCUAGCAAAUGAUGGCUUUAAGCUCAUCAUUUCCAUUGCAAACCUAAUGCAUCCUUCUUCUGCAGCAAUGUGUAAGGGAGUUUCAACAAACUCCACCUCAUCAAAGUGCCUCAAAACAUUUCCAUCUCUUUGGAUUAAACUGUAUAGAUCACUAACAUUUCCUGUACCAGCUGCUGUUCUCAACCUUUCAUCCAUAUCAGGUGGAAGAACCAAUUGACAAAAGAAAAUUUGAAAGAGCUGAAGCCCACCUACAGUGUCUACUAUUAUUUUUAAAGAUCGCUGCUGCUUUUGUUUAUAAAGAAAGCAGAAAAGGAAUCUUUCAACUCCGCGUGCUAAUUAAUUUAGAGAAAGUUGCAUUGUUCUAAAUUUUUUAUACUAAAAGGGAACUAAUUAAAUUAAUUGGACAAAAACUUACAUAUGACAAACAUGCUAUAGGACUUAAUACCUAUACAUAUAAUUAUGUAUAAUAGGUUUUGAAGUUGGUCAUGAAAACAUGAUUAACUAUACUUUUUUAAUGCUUUUAAUGCUCAUGAAAACAUGCAUCUCAGAUGCAAUUGUUUUUCAUUCAGAAUUAUUCCAUUAUUAUUUUUAUAUAUUACAAGUUUAAACUUUCACACUAUGUACACACACGUUACUAAUAUGUGAAUUUGUGGAUUGAGCUUUGAUAUCGAACAUGAAUGAACUCACUUCAAUCAAUGGACUUACGACUUGGGUUCACCCCAUUGAUUUUUCUGUUGGUAAAGAAUUUAUCAAUAGAGUUUAAAAUAAAAUCUUACUAUGGUGGGAUCUUAUGAAAUCCUUUUUAAAUAAGCAAGGUGGUUAAAAGAUAGAAAUAAAGAUAUGUAACUAUCUAAUCAAACCACGUCAAAAACACUAAAUUUGUACCGAUGACUUCAAUCUUGUUAAAUCAGUUACUCAAUAUGUCAAUUUUCUUUAAAAAAUAAUCAUUUUAGUGUUGAAAACCAACUGAAUUGAUUAAAAAUUUAAAAAUUAAUCUUUUAAGUAUUAAAACCGAUUGAAUUGAUUAAAAAUUAAACUCAAAAUUUUCAAUGCAAAUCACAUGAUCAACAAUAAUCUUGACAUAACUAACUCAAAAUAUAAAAUUUUAACAUUUAUAUUUAAUACCAUAAAAUAGUUAUUAUAAUUAUUUUUUAAUAUAAUAAAAUAUUUAUUAGAUUUAUAGUAGUGUUUUUAAUAUAAAUAUUUUUUAAUGUAUUUUUAAUGUGUUAGAAAACUUUAAUUUUUAGCCUUUUUUUAGUGCAUUUAGAGUAUUAUAUAUUUUUAAAAAAAAUUAAAUUUAAAUAAAUAUUAUUCUAAACAAAUCAAAUAUGGAUAGGUAAGGCCAGACUCGGUUUACUUUUCAUAAAUCGGGUCAAGAUUAAGCAAAAAAGUAAGCCCGUUUUUUGGGUUAGGCACCGGCUUGAAAAAGUGAUCUAAUUACUUUGCAUAGGCCUGACCCAUGAGCACCUCUAAUAACUAUCCAUACUUUUUUAAUGCUCAUGAAAACUUGUAUAUUAGAUGCAAUUGGCUUUCCCUUAAAAUUAUCCCAUUGUUAUUUUUAUAUAAUACAAGUUUAAACUUGCACACCUACAUACGCUGUACAGGCCAAUUUUAACUACUAUUACAGAGAACCCAUUUACAAUUUUGUAAUCCCUCAACCCAAUUUCAAACCCCAUUAAAUCACUAACCCAUUAAACCCCAAAACCCAACUAGCCUACCCUAACCUAAACAGCCCAAUACCCAUUAAGCCUAACUAAUACAUCAGCCAACCCAAAAUUCAAACCCCAUUUACAACCAGAACCCAAUAUCCCUGAACCCAUAUACCCGAAGCCCAAUAACCUAACCUACCAGCCCACUAAACUAAUAGCCCAUUACACAAAAUCAGAAACAAAAAUACCUAAUCCCAAACCCUAGCCCUCCUGGCAUUCGGCGCCCACUUGCCUCUGUCACCACCGACGUCUGCCACGCCCCAUACCCCCACUACAACAGUCCCAUACCUCCACAGUCCUCGUACGCCACGCCCACACCCUGUACGCAUGACAACAGCCUCUGUACCUGCAAAAACAACAGACAAGCAAAGCAGAAGCAAGAAUAGCAAAAAAUAAUAACAAAGUAUGUAACAAAACAGGCUAUAAAAAGCCGAAUGAAACACUGUAGGGGUUCUUUUUUUGAGAUUUUUAUCAAUACAGACAUAUAUUUCAAAAGAGAAACAAAAGCCAAUAGACAGAGCAGGAAUAUCAUCCGAAACAGAUAUCAACACACACACAAAAAACACCAAAUCAGCGCACCAAACACAAAAUCGCAAAUCGAAAAUAGAAGGUGAUUUUAUAUUUAUUGUCAUUUUUAUUUAUUUUCUCACAAAUAUAUAUAUCAAAAAAUACGACAAAUAUACGGAAAUAUAAUAUAAAAAUAUAAGAAAUAAAAAAAAUAAAAAAUUGGAGUUUUUACCUCUCCGGCCACCGUGUACGGUGGCCGGCGCCGGCGAGGCUCCGGUGGCCGUCCGGUGACCGGCCCCCCGCCGGAGCUCCCUCCUUUCCCCCCUCUCCUUUUUCCCUUCUCUCUUUUCUCCCUUCUCUUUCUUUUUUUUUCUUCUCUGCUAUGCCCAAAUGAUUUUUUUUUAAAGAUUUUUGUCUUAUAUAGGGGACCAAAACGCACCGUUUUGGUCCCCCCUAACCCUUAAAACGGCACCGUUUAGGCCCAGGGUCGGGUCGACCCGACCCGCACCAGGGAGGAUCCGCGUGUUUUUCUUUGGAAGGGCUAAUUGCACUUCUAGCCCUUCCGCUUUUCUGGGAGUUUACAAUCAAUGUUUUUUUUAUUUUUAAUUUGGCCCCCAUGGUUUUGCCCCGAAUUCAUUCUGGCCCCCACGCUGCGCAGCGUUUUAAUACCUGGGUUUAUUGCGCUUUUGACCCUCCAAGUUGCACGCGUGUUACAAUUAAGUCCCUUUUCUUUGUUUUUAUUUUAAAUUGACCCCAUAACUUCGAUUUUAUUUUAAUUUUAGUCCUUUUUCUGACCUUUUCUCAUUUUUAAUGUUAUUGUAUUUAUUAUUACCUAUUACUUUAUUCUUAUUUUAUUUUUAUAUCAUUAUAUUUUAUCCACUUUUUAUAUUAUUAUUAUUAUUAUAUUAUUUUUAUUACUAUGGUUUAUCUUUACUUAUAUAUACAUAUAUAUUUUUAUGUACAUAUAGCCUUUAUAUAGUUUUUUUUAUUACUUCAUUUUAAUAUUAUCAUUAUCUUAUUUUAUUUUUAUAAUGUUUGUGUUUAUGUUAUUAUAUAUGCAUACGUUAUAUGUGUGUUUAAGGCCAUGCAUUUUAUAAUUAUGUUAUGUAUAUAGUUUGCAUAUUGCCCCAUAUAUAUAUUUUAAUAUUAUCUUUUAUGCUAUUAUAGGUAUAUUUCUAGUACCAUUAUUAUAUAUAUUUAUGUACAUACUUAUGUAAUAUGUGAACAGUUUUUUUAUUAUAUAUAUUUUAAUCUUAUUUGUCAUAUUUUUCUUUUACUCUAUUAUAUACAUGUUUCUAAUAUUAUGUUGUAUAUUCCUAAUACUAUUGUUUAUAUAUCUAUAUAUAUAUAUGUGUGUAUGUAUUUGUGUAGUGUACAAAAUAGUUUAUUAUUAUUCUUAUCAUUUCUAAGGUAUGCAUAUACUAUAUAUGUUCUAUGUAUGUUGUAUGGAUUUUUAAUAUCGCUAAAUAUAUACUUCAUCUUACACACGCAUUCUUAAUAUUAUUAUUAUGUGCAUACAUUCAUUAUUUUAAUUUCGUGUUCAAUUCUAUUAUUACAUUAUACCUUCAUCUUUUCUAAUAUUAUUGUCACCUCGAUUAUUUGUUUCAAUAUAUCCCUAGCUCUUUCAUUUAUUGAUUUUUAUUUCAUAUUAUUUUACUUUGCAUUAUUUCAAAAAUCGUAUUCUUGUUUUGCUAAUUAAUUUCAAUAACCAAGGCAACAUAUCGAUUUAACAUUAAGUCAUCGAGUUCAUCGCUACGUUGGGUGAACGUCAAUUGACUCGUGUUAAAGCGAUAUACCCUUCUCAAAAACUGGAAUAAACUAAAAUUUCUCGUCUUUUUAAUCGGAUCACAACUAAACUUUACAUUGAAUUCGUAUUUUUGAAAAUUAAGACAACAUGUGUUUAUGAGAUACCAAUUUUUGGGCGUCGCGAGGGUGCUAAUACCUUCCUCGCGCGUAACCGACUCCCAAACCCUAAUUUUCCUCUGGCUUUUAACGUAGACCUAAAUUCAGCCUUCCUUUUGUUUUAAAAAAAUAAAUCUAAUAGGUGUCCGAUCACACCUAGGAAAAAGGAUCGGUGGCGACUCCUUCUUUAUUUUAAAAUCAAACUUCAAGUUUUCAAAUUUUCAAUAAAUCGCCACAAUUAGCGACCGAAACCUAAAUUUUUACGUCGCUACAUACGCACACACUACUACAUAGGUGAACUUGUGGAUUGAACCAUGAUAUCGGGUAUGAAUGAACUCAUUUCAACUAAUGGACCUACCGCUUGAAUUCACCCCAUUGAUUUUUUUAGUUGGUAAAGAGUACUUAACAAUAGAGUUUAAAAUAAAACCUUAUCAUAGUGGGAUCGCAUGAGAUCUCUUUUAAAUCAACCGUGGUGGUUAAAAGAUAGAAAGAAUAAUAUUGCAACUAUCUGAUCAAGUCACGCCAGAAUUUGGAAAAACGCUUUUUGAUAGUAAUAAUAAACACUAUUAAACUUUUCAAAAACACUUUUUAAAACCUUUUUUUCACUUUACUUUCUAACCUCAAUAGUAAAUUAACCUUUUUAUUAUAAAAAAAAUUUGGGAAAUCUCCUAAGACUGAAAAUUAACAAAAUCAAUUGAAUGGAAAUUCUUUUAAAGGAUAAAAAAAUAAAUCGAGGUGAAGUUGAAUCCACAAGAAAUCACUCUUAUAGUAUAUAACUAGAACUGAUCAUGGGUUGGGCACUCACUCAAGCCUAAAGUACUGCCCAAAAAGUAGGAGGGUUUGAGCAAAAAUAUAGGCCAGAAAAAUAUGCUUGGCCAAAAAAUGAGGUCAUUUUUCUAAAUGGGUUGGGCCUGAGCAAUAUUUUUUGGCCUGGGCCCACUCGAAUUUUCCUAAAAGAAAUUUCAUUGUUUUGUUGUUGUUUGCUGUCAUUUUUCUAUUAUAUUGCUACUAUUUUAUUGUUAUUGUGUGGAUAUUAUAUAAUUAAUGUUUUAUUAUCAAUUUUGCUAUCAUAUUAAAGACAUAUGCUUGCGAGUUCCAACUAUCUUAGUAUUUUCAAAUAAUUGAGAAAUAUUUUUAUUUUUUAAAAUUAUUUUUAUAUAAAAAAUAAUAUUUUUUAAUACGGGUGGGUUGAGCUAAUAUCAAGUUUAAUAUUUUUUUUUAUCUAGAUCGAGGUUGAGCAAAAUUUUAAACUAUUUUUUGGACAAGACGAACCCAAAAAAUAAUUCUAAAAUUUUAUAUUAACCGGACUCUGCCUAUGAUACGUAAAUCCCACACCUAAAAUUCAAUCAAAAUGACAUUGAUGAAUCAAAGGAGACAAAAGGGAUUGAGAUGAACAUUGUUGUGAUUAUUCUCUUUGGUACAAAGAUAGCUACACUCUGAGAAACCAGUUUAGACAGAAUUUACAUAGAAAAAGGGAUAACCAGCACCCAAAGACAAUACAAUACGUAAAACCCCAUGUAAGCAUACUGAAGGAUAAACAGUAUGCUACAACUACAAUGGUUCCUUUCCAGAAUUCAUCAUAUAGGAAAAGGAAUAACCAAACUCCCUGAAUUAUAUUUUGUAAAACUAAACUUGUACCAUAAUAUUGCAACACAAAUGAAGGGGAUAACCAACAUCCCAGAAUUGCAACACUAAGUUUCGACACUCGAGAAGUGGAAACCAUGAGCACUGUUAAAAUAAAAACCAAAACCGAAAAUGUAAUCAUAACUCUAACUGUGAACUCGGUUGGCGCUAUGUAACCUAUUGAUUGGUCGAAGCAUAUUGCGAAGAAAGCAAGUAAGGCUUGAAGUGCUGUUCUGAAACAAUGGGGAUAAGGUUUAAGCAAGGCUAAUGUUAAGAAAAAGGUUACGAUGAAGACAAGAUAAGUUGGAAUAUAGAAAAUAAAAAAAUUAAUUUCAGCUAAGAUUGAUUUACCCAAUACCAUCUCAUCAUAUGACCCUUCGGACUUUGAAGUGUUAUCUCCCUGCCAAACACCACCAGGUGGGCUAAGACUAGCUUGGAAGGUUGCAGUUAGAAGCAACCCUAAAAUUACUAGUAAGGCAUUGCGGUCCUCGCCUGACAUAUUAUCUAUCUCGUGAGAGAUUAGAGAUGAUACUUUUGUCAUUUGUUUCUCGUACUUACGUUUAAAGUUUGAAACUCCUGGAAUAAAGCAACCACGUAGAACAGUAAUACUGUCUUCAUUAUGAUGUUGGUCUGCAAUAUCCAAUGCCAUCAAACCAGCUUGAUUGGUAGCGUGCUCAUCGGCGUUGCAGUUCAAUAAUAGUUUAAGCAUCUGUUUCAUUGAUAGUUUGAGAUAUAAAAGAACUACAAUCUAUGUCUAUAAAGAUUAAAAAGAAGCUGUAUUGAACUAGAUGAGUCAAACCUGGGGUCGAUCAUGAAAAGCAGCUAAGUGCAGUGCAGUGUUUCCACCUUCAUCUUUUUGGUUCACCACUUCACAAUAGUAGUCUGUCUUCUUAAGUGUUCGAAUUAGGACUUGAAGAACAUCCAGUUCGUUGUUUUCCACGGCAAUAUGCAAAGCAUUACGAUUCUCAACUGUAACGUCCCGAAUCGAUUGAGGACAAAUCUCUAGAUAUCUAUCCAACAGACCAUUAUGGUUCCCAGCUUCAGUUAUGAUGUGCAAAGGUGUCUUCCCAUUCUUUCCUUUGACACGAGCUAGAUCUUUAUUAAUUUCCAAGAAACGUAGAGCCAUACUUGUAUCCGGAUUUGUAACUGCAAGGUGAAGUGGGG